UACGGAGGGUGCGAGCGUUGUUCGGAAUCACUGGGCGUAAAGCGCGUGUAGGCGGUCCGCUAAGUCUGAUGUGAAAGCCCGGGGCUCACCCCCGGAAGGGCAUUGGAUACUGGUGGACUCGAGUCCCGGAGAGGAGGGUGGAAUUCCGCGUGUAGCAGUGAAAUGCGUAGAGAUGCGGAGGAACACCGAUGGCGAAGGCAACCCCCUGGGACGAUACUGA
rnacentral:rRNA from 1 species